AUGAACGCUAGCGAUAGGCCUAACACAUGCAAGUCGAGGGGCAUCACAUGAAGCAGCAAUGCAGAUGGUGGCGACCGGCGCACGGGUGAGUAACACGUAUGCAACCUGCCUUCAACAAGGGAAUAACCCGUUGAAAGACGGACUAAUACCCUAUAACACAGGGGCUCCGCAUGGAGAUAUUUGUUAAAGAUUUUAUCGGUUGAAGAUGGGCAUGCGUUCCAUUAGCUAGUUGGUGAGGUAACGGCUCACCAAGGCAACGAUGGAUAGGGGAACUGAGAGGUUUAUCCCCCACACUGGUACUGAGACACGGACCAGACUCCUACGGGAGGCAGCAGUGAGGAAUAUUGGUCAAUGGACGCAAGUCUGAACCAGCCACGUCGCGUGAAGGAGGACGGCCCUAAGGGUUGUAAACUUCUUUUGCAGGGGAAUAAAGUAUUCCACGAGAUGGGAUAUUGCAAGUACGCUGCGAAUAAGGAUCGGCUAACUCCGUG
rnacentral:rRNA from 1 species